rnacentral:rRNA from 1 species
ACCUGAUCCAGCCAUGCCGCGUGUGUGAAGAAGGCCCUCGGGUUGUAAAGCACUUUCAGCGAGGAAGAACGCCUAGCGGUUAAUACCCGCUAGGAAAGACAUCACUCGCAGAAGAAGCACCGGCUAACUCCGUGCCAGCAGCCGCGGUAAUACGGAGGGUGCAAGCGUUAAUCGGAAUUACUGGGCGUAAAGCGCGCGUAGGUGGCUUGAUAAGCCGGUUGUGAAAGCCCCGGGCUCAACCUGGGAACGGCAUCCGGAACUGUCAAGCUAGAGUGCAGGAGAGGAAGGUAGAAUUCCCGGUGUAGCGGUGAAAUGCGUAGAGAUCGGGAGGAAUACCAGUGGCGAAGGCGGCCUUCUGGACUGACACUGACACUGAGGUGCGAAAGCGUGGGUAGCAAACAGGAUUAGAUACCCUGGUAGUCCACGCCGUAAACGAUGUCGACCAGCCGUUGGGUGCCUAGCGCACUUUGUGGCGAAGUUAACGCGAUAAGUCGACCGCCUGGGGAGUACGGCCGCAAGGUUAAAACUCAA